AUCCUCUCAAGAUCACACCUGGAGAGUUUCCAGUACUCUACCAAUCUUGGCUACGGGAGGGAGAGUCAAGCAAAGGCCUGUCUAUUCUAUUCCUAGCUUGGCCAGUGGCUAGUGAGUAGAAGGUAAUAUGCUACAAUU